AUUUUCACUUGUGCUCGUACGUCGCUAUACAUGGCCUUAAUCAAAGUUAUAGCUUGCGUGGGGAAUCCCAUAUGGGACAGAAGCGUGAACAAGUACGUCCAUGAAACCCUAUCAAACGCUUUUUCAGCGUCCAAUGAGACCAGCAUAGUUGGGGUGUGAGUGACCUUCUGUUUCCAAAUGAGAUCUAUGUUCCUACGGGUGUUCUCAAACAACUGUCUGCUCUGCACGAAUCCUACUUGAUCUGCACCCACCAGAGUAGCCAAGUAAGGGUUCAGUCUUG